UUUCCCCCUUUAAAGCUGCGGUCUCCUGUUUGAUAAAAGAAUAUUGGCCAGUAUUGCAGAUUUUAACUGAUUUGGCUGAUCCUCCAGGGACCAGUUUCUGUGGGCGUGUAUUGGAGCAGGAUAGUGUGUCUUUAACUCUUAAAUUGUUUGGUCCUAUUUUUUAAAAAGGAAAGGGCCCUAAGUAGCUCAGAUAUUAAAGUAGUAUUCUCAAUUACCAAAUGUUUCAUUUGAAACAAUUUAUCUUAAUGAAAUAUAGACCAAUUCUCUGAUCUCGAGUUGUUUUUGUUUGGAUACAGCCCUUUUUUUUUUCUUUUUUUUUCUUCCCCUUACCUUUCUUCACCUUGGUUAUUUGGCCAGGAAUACGUAAAUUCAAACUUGUACAUGCUGAUGGUAGCCUUUGUGAAAUUUUCCUAAUUGGGCCUUUUAAAAACAUGGCUGGGUGGAACAUUUCUGUACCCUACUGGUUUGACCAGAGCCUUAGUAAGUACGUGCCUGAAACUGAAACCAUGUGCACUUUAAUGGAAGGUAAGCUGAACUUCUUUCUUUUCAAACCUAGAUGUAUCGGCAAGCAGUGUAAACGGAGGACUUGGGGAAAAAGGACCACAUAGUCCAUCGAAGAAGAGUCCUUGGAACAAGCAACUGGCUAUUGAAAAGGUUAUUUUGUAACAUUUGUCUAACUUUUUACUUGUUUAAGCUUUGCCUCAGUUGGCAAACUUCAUUUUAUGUGCCAUUUUGUUGCUGUUAUUCAAAUUUCUUGUAAUUUAGUGAGGUGAACGACUUCAGAUUUCAUUAUUGGAUUUGGAUAUUUGAGGUAAAAUUUCAUUUUGUUAUAUAGUGCUGACUUUUUUUGUUUGAAAUUAAACAGAUUGGUAACCU
rnacentral:lncRNA from 10 species